rnacentral:rRNA from 1 species
UACGGAGGGUGCGAGCGUUGUCCGGAAUCACUGGGCGUAAAGGGCGCGUAGGCGGCCUGAUAAGUAGGGGGUGAAAUCCUGCGGCUUAACCGCAGGGCUGCCUUCUAAACUGUCAGGCUAGAGCACAGUAGAGGCAGGUGGAAUUCCCGGUGUAGCGGUGGAAUGCGUAGAGAUCGGGAAGAACAUCAGUGGCGAAGACGGCCUGCUGGGCUGUUGCUGACGCUGAGGCGCGACAGCGGUGGGGAGCAAACAGG